rnacentral:rRNA from 1 species
AUUGAACGCUGGCGGCAUGCUUUACACAUGCAAGUCGAACGGUAACAGGCCUUCGGGUGCUGACGAGUGGCGAACGGGUGAGUAAUGCAUCGGAACGUACCCAGAGGUGGGGGAUAACGCAGCGAAAGCUGUGCUAAUACCGCAUGUGAUCUGAGGAUGAAAGCGGGGGACCGAGCAGCAAUGUUUGGCCUCGCGCCUUUGGAGCGGCCGAUGUCGGAUUAGCUAGUUGGUGGGGUAAAGGCCUACCAAGGCGACGAUCCGUAGCUGGUCUGAGAGGACGACCAGCCACACUGGGACUGAGACACGGCCCAGACUCCUACGGGAGGCAGCAGUGGGGAAUUUUGGACAAUGGGCGCAAGCCUGAUCCAGCAAUGCCGCGUGCGGGAAGAAGGCCUUCGGGUUGUAAACCGCUUUGGCAGGAACGAAACGGUGUCCGCUAAUACCGGGCGCUAAUGACGGUACCUGCAGAAUAAGCACCGGCUAACUACGUG